CAUUCCCCUCCGAAACCCUAGCCGCUCCCUUUCUCCCUCAGUCUGUUGCCUCUCUCCCCAACAACUCAGAUCCGCCGUCGCCCUCCUCCAUGGCUAUCCCAGAUCCACGCGGUGGCCUUCGGAUCCGUCGGGCCAGAUCCAUGCAGUGGCCCUUGGAUCCGCCGCCCGUUCGUCGACACCCGCGCCGCGGCGGCCGGGCUGGAGCAGACGCCGGAAGCCGCGGCGACGGGAUGGAGGCCUGGAGCAAACGCUGGAGGUCUCAGUGGAGCUAGAGGACUGCGCAGAGCGAUGGCAGGCGGAGGACUGCGCAGAGCUCCAGGCAGCGCAAGUGAUGGUGGUGGAGGCGCGCUGUUUCGGAGGGCGCUUGUACGCGGCCUGGCGGCGGCGGAAUCAGCGGCUUGCUCUAGGCGGCCGCAUGUUCGAGAGGUCUGGAGAAGAAAAGGCUGGGCCGUGCCCAUCUUCGUGGCUGGCGCCAUCUCGGUCUGCAAAGAAGAUUUAGAUGGAUGACUAAAAAAGUUGGAUGUUUGUGGAACAUUCUAAUAGCUACUUUGGUGUGUUCAUACUCUGGACGUUUGGUGAGUUUGUCUUUGUUGUUCCUCCUGUAACGGGAACGCUGUAAUAGUGUUCAUACUCUGUGAUGUGUUUAUUUUUUGUUCAUGGUAAUUUAUAUCACAAACUGAACCCCCCUUUUUAUUAAAUCACAUAUGUAUCCUGAAAGUUUCAGUUGGAAAUUAUUACCUGGAAAUUGCAAUAAUUACUAGCUGUGUGGAUGUGAUGAGAUAAAAUUUGAAAUCUGAGCAUGUGUUUUCAUCUUGUUGCAAGGCCAAUGCUGCUCGUCUCCAAACCAAGGUGCCAUGUGCUGACGAAGAGAGGUGCAAUGGUGUUCUGUUAGUUUUUGGUAGAAUUUCAACUUUUGCAAGAACCAAAUAAACUUUGUUGCUGCAGCUUGCUAUUUUGGUGGUCUGUUGGCUUUUGGUGGAACUUCAACUUCCGCAGGAAUCAAACUUUGCUGCUGCUGGUUUAUAUUCUUGAUGAAACCUACCGUUUGUUGUUUCUGGUUAAUUAUGUUGUCUUGGAAUAUUACUAGUUUUGGUAGAUGGAAAUGUAUGUGAUAGAAACCUUAUUCAUGUGAAUUUGGGCCUGAAUUGCUUAUUGUGAAUUCUGGGGUUGUAACUUCUGCUUUAAUAAAUGGGCUGUGAAUAAAGUUAAAUCUAGUUAUCCGAGAA